rfam:Danio rerio chromosome 4, GRCz11 reference primary assembly.
GACGAGGUGGCCGAGUGGUUAAGGCGAUGGACUGCUUAUCCAUUGUGCUCUGCACGCGUGGGUUCGAAUCACAUCCUUGUCG